rnacentral:rRNA from 1 species
ACCUGAGGGUGAAAGCGGGGGAUCGCAAGACCUCGCGCGAGAGGAGCGGCCGAUGUCGGAUUAGCUAGUUGGUGAGGUAAAGGCUCACCAAGGCGACGAUCCGUAGCGGGUCUGAGAGGACGGCCCGCCACACUGGGACUGAGACACGGCCCAGACUCCUACGGGAGGCAGCAGUGGGGAAUUUUGGACAAUGGGGGCAACCCUGAUCCAGCCAUUCCGCGUGAGUGAAGAAGGCCUUCGGGUUGUAAAGCUCUUUCGGCAGGAACGAAACGGUGGAGGCUAAUAUCUUUCAUCAAUGACGGUACCUGAAGAAGAAGCACCGGCUAACUACGUGCCAGCAGCCGCGGUAAUACGUAGGGUGCGAGCGUUAAUCGGAAUUACUGGGCGUAAAGCGUGCGCAGGCGGUUUUGUAAGACAGAUGUGAAAUCCCCGGGCUUAACCUGGGAACUGCGUUUGUGACUGCAAGACUUGAGUGCGGCAGAGGGGGGUGGAAUUCCACGUGUAGCAGUGAAAUGCGUAGAGAUGUGGAGGAACACCGAUGGCGAAGGCAGCCCCCUGGGUCGACACUGACGCUCAUGCACGAAAGCGUGGGUAGCAAACAGGAUUAGAUACCCUGGUAGUCC